GAAUAAACACGUACAACUUACAUCGCUGUUUAAUUAUUACGAUUUUUCGGUCAGUAUUAUUAUAACAUUAUGCUUCAUGUUUACUCGAACCCGUCCUAUUUAACUUGUCUAUAUACAGGUAGGUACAUCUAUAACACGAAUGUAUGAUAUCGCUAAUAGAUAGUACGAAUAUUUAUGGUUAAAAUGUAAACAUCAAUUUAUAAUUCCUCAUUCUUAUACUGUUAUUUUAUUUACGUUGAUAACCGUGUUAUUUACUUAAAUUAUAUCCAUACAACAGUUUGCUCACAAAUUAAAAUCCA